CCAUCGAGAGAGGGCGCAAGAGACGAAAGGAGUUGAGGAGAGAGACGUGAGGCCGAAGUGACGCACACUGGCUCAUGCAUGCACUCUCGCGGUCCUCCCUGAUACAGGACUUUCGAACCGAAGAACAGAGAAAGAAGCGAAAAGCGUACAAGGCCUGGGGAUGCUUCCUCGCCAUGCUAAACUAAAUAGUGCGCGAAUGCAGGCGUCCGGAUUGUUUGUUGCCUGCAUGCAGCUCUGUUUGCUUGCAUGCACUCGUCCUUACCUGCAUGCAGUUGCGAUCCGUUCUUGGGCGGCGCCAAGAGUUGCUUGCUCCUCGCGAAGGAGAACAGAGUCGAAGAGUUCCCCUUCGUUCCGAGCUCGCAGGAGCAGGCUGUGUACGGCGUCGAGGUCAACGUCCUGAGAGCGAAACCAAAGAAAACAUGUUUCAAAGAGUCAUUUUUCUCCUUGGUUUCUGUGUCUCAGCUGGCUGACGGCUCUCUCUUCUCCUUUUCUGCCUUCUCGGUCCUCGCGGAUGGGUCUGCAAACGUCGUCAUUAUUUCCAGCCGUCUACAGUGUGCUUGGUUCUGUCCUGAGAGUCGCGCGUUUUCUCUUUGUUCCCUGUCUAAUUGCUCUUCUCGGUCUCUUCGGUCCUCUGCUCUGCGUUCCCCGCCGUCCUUCUCCUUCUUCUGUGUCACGACGUCUUGUGCUCUGUUCUCGCUCUUGUCGACCAUGUCUGUCUUCCUCUCAUUUGUGCUUGUCCGCGCCUCUCUCUCUCACCUCCUGAAUCCUGUUUGCUUCGCUUUGGAGAGCGUGGACGGCCGCCUCCAGGUUGGCUAGAGCCUGGUGUGUCAACUGCAGCUUCUCUUCUCUUUCUCGGAUCCUCGCGUCCCUCUCGGCCGCCCUCUGCGUGCGUUCUGUCUCCGUCUGUCGGCUCUGCAUACACGCCUCGAGCCUGGGGAGGAGACAGGCAAGAACCUCUGAGGGUGAGGCAGCUUUCAGAGUCGCGCGCAUGCAGAGCGCAGAGCCGCCGGAGUUGCGCGGAGCCUGCGCGCUUGAAGGGGGAGAACCGACCGCCGAAGGUGACGAGACGCGCGACGGCGGAGAGCGUAACGAAGAACAGAGGGGAACAGGGAGCACUGCCUCUCUCAGCUUCGCCUCCAGAGAAAGAUUCGCGCUCUGCGCUUGCUGAAGACGGAGCAAAGACGAGGGAAGACCAACCAAGAAAACGCGAUUCUCACAAACAGGAAAAGCGUCGACAGUCCACCCGACACACUGGAGAACGGUGACAUGCAUGUCGCUUCUGGAUGCUUCAAAACGCCCUGACUGUUCCCUCUCUCUGCAUGCACCUUUGCUGCGAUAUUUGUCAAGAGACACCCGAAACUGGGAAGCAAGUUCUGAGGCGGGCACCAGCAGCAUGAGGCUCUCCUCGUCUGACAGUCGAUCUCCGCUGUCGAGAUCUGAUUCGUUGCAGUUUCCUCGCGCGUCUGGCGUCCGUAGCCGUUCCUUUUUGUCGCUGGACGGGUCGCCGCUCUCCUCGCGAAAAGCCUCGUCGGCUGCUUCUUCAGCCUCCAAAAGGCGUUCGAUGUCAGCGAGUUGCCUCUGCGUCGCCACAGAGGCCUGCGCGAGGAGCGCCUGCUGUUCCUCGUAAGCGUCGAAGCCGCCUGCAGCUUGGACUGCCUGAAAAAGGACAUCCAAACCAAAACGCAGGAAUAGGCAGAGAUCCACUGCAUAGGAAGAACCUCUUCGUAUACCUGGCAUUCAACUCGAGCUAUAUGCCGACACCCAUACGCGUACAAACAUCGUUAUAUAUAUAUAUAUAUGUACAUAUAUAUUAUACGAAGAUAUAAGUACAUAUACGCAUGUUUGAGUGUGGGCAUCGCUGUGUGCCUGUCCACGACUAAACGAGUUUUUAAAGUGGAUGCACGCAGCGAUUUAUCAUGGCGUGAGUUGAGGCUUCAUUGCGCAUGUGGUGAGUUGCGGAAGAAGGACGAAACGCAGCAGCGGACAGAAGGCAUCCGCAAAUCGACAGGGUCCCGAGGCAGGAGCGACGCCAGCUGCGAGACGCGAGUCAGCUGCGAGACGCGAGCCAGCUGCGAGACGCGAGUCAGCUGCGAGACGCGAGUCAGCUGCGAGACGCGAGCCAGCUGCGAGACGCGAGUCAGCUGCGAGACGCGAGCCAGCUGCAUGCACGGUCCAGUGGUGCGUUGAAGACCGUGGCAAAGUGCGAGUCGUGGACGCUCUCUGUGAGCACAAAGCGAGCAACGCAGGACCCAGAUGGAGACGAAGACGAGCGCCUGUCAAAGAGAAACCGAGGGCAGUACCCUGAUCUGAUUCCAGAGGUGGGGAGGCAGUUCGAGAGUCAAGUCGGCGCGGGGCUGGUUGCGAACUUUCUUCUCCUCUUGAAGCUUCAGAGCGACCUCCCGCAACUGGUCGGGCAGCUGGCGCGCGAGAAGAAAAGACGAAACGCCAGAAAGCUCCUCAGACACGCGCUGCUUCAAGUCCCGAACGCCUGCCCGAUAUCUGCAGAUGGCGAAGAAGAGAAGUGACAGGAAAGAAGGACAAGAGACCAGAUCUGCGGGGGAGCGAGCGGCGCGCGGCGAGGCGUUGAAGGCGAGAGCAGAAGAGACACGAAAAACGAGAAGAGAGAGAUACGGCGAGACAGAGAGAGGUGAAUUGAACGCGAGCUCAAAAGCGAGAGGGAGAGCGACGAACCGGACCAACAUCGAGAGACAUCACACCACAGAAUCGAGCGCGAAGCAAAACGAGGUCGGGGGAGGGCAACGCAGCCAAAAACCGACGCAAACAACUCGUUAAAUGGGGACAGCGCUGAGACCCGCAGCUCCAUGAGUAGACUCUGAACGCAUCGAGGACAGACUCCGUUCCCCAAGAGCAUAGAAAAAGGACGCCAGACACAAAGUUACCUCGUGGCGUACUCCUCGCCCCUUAGGCGAACAGACGUCGGAAGAAGCUGACAGAGUUGCGCCGCGGCAUGCGCGUCCACGUCCUGCAAAUCCUGAAUGGCGACCGAAGAAAGCUCGACGCAGCACGCAUGCUCCAGAGGCGUCAAACGCGACGGAUCCGGUACGGCCUCCAGAUACACCUGAAUCCAGAGGCAAGUGCGACAACGAAAGACUGGAAAGUAAAUAAAACAAAGGGCGCCCGGUCGCGCGCUCUCCGCGGUGCCGCGAAGCCAGCAGCGCUAUUUUAUCAGCUCCACGUUCACCGUCUUUGACAUGGUGGAGGGAGUCGGCUCUCUCGCGUGGACUGUCGUUUUCACCCUUUCUAGGCAUUUUUUUUUCGCCUGCGUUCCACUUGAUCCUCUGCGACACUUGGCACUGUGACCCCAACAUCUCAAAGAAACUCCCGAGGCUUUUCUUCUGCCGGCCGCCCGCAAGUUCUCAAACCCCAGCAACACAGCCGAAGCCGCUCGGACGCCAUUUCACUUCCUGGACGCAACUGUCUCCGUGUACAAGCCGAUGGGCGUGGACGCGGCCGCGCAGGCUCCACAGGGCCUGCAGGGCCCGGCGUCAAGACGGUGACGACGAACAGCCGCUUGCCGUUGUGCUCUGCUCACCACGGCGUUGUCGCGUUCCAGUUGCUCGUGUGUCUGGACGAUGUGAGCAAAGAGACCGCUGAGGUUGCAUUUCAGCGAAUGCGCUUCGACGAGUGCAGCAGCUUGCGCAAGAAACUCCCGACAAACGCGAAGGCGCGCUACCAGGCGGCCGUAGCCUUCACCUGCCGAGACAACGCCGAGAGCAGAGAAUCGCUCAAAAGACAAGAGAAAGCCGCCAGGGACAUGUGCGUAGAAAACCCAUGAAACUGUUGAAAGUACCCUAGCAAACGCAAGACGCCACGACGUGCACAGAAUCGAUUGCUGAUCCUGGGUCGCGACUGAACAGCAUGCAGGCCAGCUGCAAGCGAGAUGAAAGCCGACGCAGUAAAAGUGAAAACGCAGAAGACGACAGUGAAAACGGAGAAGAAAAUGUGAAGUCACAGGCGGACCCAGCGCGGGCGACACGACGACAGAUACAGCGGGAGAGAGAAAGAGAGGAAAGGAGAGCGAGAGAGAAUGAAACAAAGGACGGAGAAGACUUUGAGACCCUCACCUUCCAUUUCGACUUGUUCUUGUUCGUACCGAGCGAGCUGAAAGUGAGCCGCGGCGAGGUAGGACAACUCUUGGCUUCUUGAAAGAAAACAGGAACAAGCAACUCUCAAGAAAAAACGCAUGACGGCCGCCUACCACAGGCGGCAGGGGAGAGACCACCGCGGCGGGGGAAUGCAUGCAGAGACCUUUCCACGCGUGAGGCAAGCGAGCAGCAAUGCCAAGAGAAAAAAAGCAGAAGGCGCGGCAAGAACAGAGAGCACACAACGAUGAGCGAGAACAGAGAGGAGUCAAGAUCCGAAGGAGCAAAGACGCCGAAGACAGGACAACUCAUCCACGAACAGAGGUCGUGAGACUGCAGCGCGUUAGGAGGGCGUUCUGUCGAGACAAAGCAGGCACAGAGAAUUGUCGGAUCACGCGGUUCGCAUGCAGAUCCGACCUUCAUUGGUCCUCACUUGAGCCAUGUCGCCAGCACACUGGCUUCUGUUUGUGGGCGAGAGUCUGCAGCGUCUCCACCGGUCGAUGCAGAGAGAGGAGACUGCAGCAGCAAACCUGGGAGAGAGAGAAACAACCGGAAGGAGACGCGCGAGAGAAGAGUGGAAGAGAACAGAGGGGAAGCGACGAAGGCGACAUGUGUAGCAAAGAGACUGAGAGAAAAAGGCUUCCAUCGGAAGUCGAAGGAACGGCCUUUCUCCGCAACGUCCGUGCCUCGUUUUUGCCGUCCUCUGCUCCUUCGGCAUCUCGGCCGAUUACCGCCAUACAGAAACGAUCGCCCAGGAGACGAACGAACUCUUCCACUGGCGUACUAUUAAACAUAUCCCAAUAUAGUCAAGCACUUCGAUACGCAUGCACUGGCGAACCAAUGCAAUCGUUUGUUGCUGCUCGCACACGGCCCGGAACGCAUGCAAAAACGGCGACUCGCGUCCACAUCGAUUCGCACCUACACAGAUGUAAACGAGUUGAAACACAGAAGGGUACUUUCAGAUAUGCGCA
rnacentral:lncRNA from 1 species